rnacentral:lncRNA from 1 species
AAGUAAAGGCAGAAGUAAGAGACAGCAUGGCCCACUGAGAGAGCAUGAAGCACAGUAUAGUUCAGUUCACUGAGCAGAGGGCUUGUGGUAGCCAGCCUGCAGGAUGACUGGUGUUCAUACCCUUGGGUAGUCCCCUCCCACAGUGAACAAGGGUUGGUCUGUGUGACCAACAGCACAUGGCAGAAGUGAUAGUACGUCACUUCUAAGAUUGGGUGAUAAAAGACUUGCGUGCUGUCUUACCACUUGGUACACACUCUCUCGAGUCAUUUGUUCUGUGAAGACACACAGGUAGUAGAGAGAACUGGGACAGAAGCCUCCAGCCAACAAUGUGAGCAAGACUGGAAGCAGGGCUGCAGCUGACUGCAAUCCUGAACAGCUUUUAUGCAGACACAGGUCAGAACCACCCAACAGAUGUUGCCCCUGGAUUCCUGAUCCUCAUAAACUGUCAGCAGGAAUUGUACUUGAGAAGCUGUACUUAAGGAACAUCCAAGAAGUCCCAACUGUACCUGAAUCUAACUUAGAUGAGAUUCUAGACUUUGAGCUGUGAUAGGAUAAGACUUUUGAAUAUAACAGCUAAAAAAAAAAAAAAAAAUCACACUUUAUACAGGUAUAUGCUAUUGACUCAUAUACCACAAAUGGUGAUGUCAAUGAAGUGACUUUCGAACAAUAAGAACUCCUGCAAAAGUUCUGAACAAAAAAAGUACAACAUCCUCUUUAUACACUAGCUGCUUUUCUGGAAAGUCUACUGUAUAUUAAAACUGUACACUUCACAUGUAAAAUUAAAUUAGGUCCUAGACUCAGAUAAUUUA